GGAUUCCCCUAGUAACUGCGAGUGAAGCGGGAAGAGCUCAAAUUUAAAAUCUGGUGGUCUUUGGCCAUCCGAGUUGUAGUCUGGAGAAGUGCUUUCUGUGCUGGACCGUGUAUAAGUCUCUUGGAAUAGAGCGUCAUAGAGGGUGAGAAUCCCGUCUUUGACACGGACUACCAGUGCUCUGUGAUGCGCUCUCAAAGAGUCGAGUUGUUUGGGAAUGCAGCUCAAAAUGGGUGGUAAAUUCCAUCUAAAGCUAAAUAUUGGCGAGAGACCGAUAGCGAACAAGUACCGUGAGGGAAAGAUGAAAAGCACUUUGGAAAGAGAGUUAAACAGUACGUGAAAUUGCUGAAAGGGAAACGCUUGAAGUCAGUCGCGUUGUUUGGAACUCAGCCUUGCUUUUUGCUUGGUGCACUUUCUGAAUGACGGGCCAGCAUCGAUUUUGACCGUUGGAAAAGGGCUGGGGGAAUGUGGCACCUUUGGGUGUGUUAUAGCCUCUUGUCGCAUACAGCGGUUGGGAUCGAGGAACGCAGCGCGCCGCAAGGCAGGGGUUCACCCACUUUCGCGCUUAGGAUGCUGGCAUAAUGGCUUUAAACGACCCGUCUUGAAACACGGACCAAGGAGUCUAACAUACCUGCGAGUGUUUGGGUGGAAAACCCGAGCGCGUAAUGAAAGUGAAAG
rnacentral:rRNA from 1 species